rnacentral:rRNA from 1 species
GGCUCAGGAUGAACGCUAGCUACAGGCUUAACACAUGCAAGUCGCGGGGCAGCAUAUAGAUAGCUUGCUAUUAUGAUGGCGACCGGCGCACGGGUGAGUAACGCGUAUCCCAACCUUCCCCAUAGUAGGGUAUAGCCCGGCGAAAGUCGGAUUAAUCCCCUAUGUUGUUUGAAGCGGACAUCUAAUUCAAACCAAGAUUCAUCGCUAUGGGAUGGGGAUGCGUCUGAUUAGGUUGCAGGCGGGGUAACGGCCCACCUGGCCGACGAUCAGUAGGGGUUCUGAGAGGAAGGUCCCCCACACUGGUACUGAGACACGGACCAGACUCCUACGGGAGGCAGCAGUGAGGAAUAUUGGUCAAUGGGCGCGAGCCUGAACCAGCCAAGUAGCGUGCAGGAUGACGGCCCUACGGGUUGUAAACUGCUUUUAUGCGGGGAUAAAGUGCGGCACGUGUGCCGUUUUGCAGGUACCGCAUGAAUAAGGACCGGCUAAUUCCGUGCCAGCCGCGGC